CCUACGGGGGGCAGCAGUGGGGGAUAUUGCACAAUGUGCGAAACCCUGAUGCAACGACGCCGCGUGAGUGAAGAAGGAUUUCGGUAUGUAAAGCUCUAUUAGCAGGGAAGAAAAAAGACGGUACCUGACUAAGAAGCCCCGGCUAACUACGUGCCAGGCGCCGCGGUAAUACGUAGGGGGCAAGCGUUAUCCGGAUUUACUGGGUGUGAAGGGAGUGUAGACGGCAAUACAAGUCGGAAGUGAAAUACCCGGGCUCAACCUGGGAACCGCUUGUGAAACUGUAUGGCUGGAGUGCUGGAGAGGUAAGCGGAAUUCCGAGUGUAGCGGUGAAAUGCGUAGAUAUUAGGAGGAACACCAGUGGCGAAGGCGGCUUACUGGACCGUAACUGACGGUGAGGCUCGAAAGCGUGGGGAGCAAACAGGAUUAGAUACCCGAGUAGUC
rnacentral:rRNA from 1 species